rnacentral:rRNA from 1 species
GAUGAACGCUGGGGGCGUGCCUAAUACAUGCAAGUCGAGCGAACGGACGAGAAGCUUGCUUCUCUGAUGUUAGCGGCGGACGGGUGAGUAACACGUGGAUAACCUACCUAUAAGACUGGGAUAACUUCGGGAAACCGGAGCUAAUACCGGAUGAUAUUUUGAACCGCAUGGUUCAAAAGUGAAAGACGGUCUUGCUGUCACUUAUAGAUGGAUCCGCGCUGCAUUAGCUAGUUGGUAAGGUAAUGGCUUACCAAGGCAACGAUGCAUAGCCGACCUGAGAGGGUGAUCGGCCACACUGGAACUGAGACACGGUCCAGACUCCUACGGGAGGCAGCAGUAGGGAAUCUUCCGCAAUGGGCGAAAGCCUGACGGAGCAACGCCGCGUGAGUGAUGAAGGUCUUCGGAUCGUAAAACUCUGUUAUUAGGGAAGAACAUAUGUGUAAGUAACUGUGCACAUCUUGACGGUACCUAAUCAGAAAGCCACGGCUAACUACGUG